GCCAAAAAAUAUGAAAACUUGACGUUCGUGACGUCACAUACAAUAUGAAAAAUCGACGUUCGUGACGUCACAUACCAAACAAUGACGUCAUUCAAAAAAUUUACCUAUUUUGAGGAAAAUUUUUCUUAAGCCAAAAAAAAAAAACCAAAACUGACUUUAUGUAAAAAAAAAAAAAAAAAAAAAAAAAAAAAGUAGGGGUGUGAUAAAGGGUAUGCGAUAAAGGGUGCGCAUCAAAGUUGCGUGAUAUGGAUUAAACAGC
rnacentral:lncRNA from 1 species